UACGGAGGGUGCGAGCGUUGUCCGGAAUCAUUGGGCGUAAAGGGCGCGUAGGUGGCCCGGUCAGUUCGUGGUGAAAGCGCGGGGCUCAACCCUGCGUCGGCCAUGAAUACUGCCGCGGCUGGAGCACUGUAGAGGCAGGCGGAAUUCCGGGUGUAGCGGUGGAAUGCGUAGAGAUCCGGAAGAACACCAAAGGCGAAGGCAGCGUCCUGGGAAGCAUCUGACGCUCAGGUGCGAAAGCUAGGGGAGCGAACGGG
rnacentral:rRNA from 1 species